UACAGAGGUCCCGAGCGUUGUUCGGAUUCACUGGGCGUAAAGGGUGCGUAGGCGGUCGGGUAAGUCUGAUGUGAAAGCUCUGGGCUUAACCCAGAAAUGGCAUUGGAUACUAUUCGGCUCGAGGUCUGGAGGGGGGACUGGAAUACUUGGUGUAGCAGUGAAAUGCGUAGAUAUCAAGUGGAACACCAGUGGCGAAGGCGAGUCCCUGGACAGAUCCUGACGCUGAGGCACGAAAGCUAGGGGAGCAAACAGG
rnacentral:rRNA from 1 species